rnacentral:rRNA from 1 species
GCGUGAGUGAUGAAGGCCCUAGGGUUGUAAAGCUCUUUCACCGGUGAAGAUAAUGACGGUAACCGGAGAAGAAGCCCCGGCUAACUUCGUGCCAGCAGCCGCGGUAAUACGAAGGGGGCUAGCGUUGUUCGGAAUUACUGGGCGUAAAGCGCACGUAGGCGGAUAUUUAAGUCAGGGGUGAAAUCCCAGAGCUCAACUCUGGAACUGCCUUUGAUACUGGGUAUCUCGAGUCCGAGAGAGGUGAGUGGAAUUCCGAGUGUAGAGGUGAAAUUCGU